rnacentral:lncRNA from 1 species
GUUAGCCAGAUGUAAGAGCUUAAGGCCUUCUCAAAUGUUUCCUUAGCAUUUGCAAUGCCUUGAGCUUGUGCACAGCCCUAUGUGCAUGUGCAUGAUCUUCCAGAUUUUGUGUAAUAUGUGAGAGCUUUACAAAGCCACAUUUGGACAUCUCAUUCCUUAGACUGUCUUUUAAGCUUUUUGGUUAGCUUAUUGUUUUCCCAACUGUUUUUCACUGCCUCAGACCUUGAGUUCCAUGUUAGGUCAAAUAAAGACAGUCUUGUUAGUGGGGUCUUCCAGGAAAUCACCAACUAGGCCAAAUAAUAACAAAUUCCAUGUUAAUGGAGUUUUGAAUGAGUUCCAAUUCCAUUCUGCUCCCUCCCAUGGUUGCCAGGCGACUGGUUUUCUCCGUGAUUGCAGGCUAUUGGUUUUCAAGGCUACUGUAGUGCUGGAGAGGGGAUAAAUAAAAGACUGAGCCUCAGAGAAAAGAAGGCCACAAGUAUAACCAAGAUUUUCUUUAAAAAUCCUAUUCAUUUGCGAGAUACGUGUAUAUGAGCGCUGAGUACAAGAAAGAGAAGAAGAUGAUGACAGUCAACCGUUGCUAUAAUAUCUACAAGUUUCAGUAAAUGUCAGUUUAGCAUAAUGAAUCAUUAAAUGCAUAUGCAUUUCAAAAUAUAGAUUGGCUUAGAGCUUUCUUGUCUUCCAAUAGCCCAGAGAAUACAUUCAAAACUACUCAAUUAGGAAUUCUAGAUCCUCCAUCAUCUCUCCUCAUGCUCACUCUCUAUUGAUGUAUCUCUUUUGAACUCUAGACCUGUAUUUCUAACUCCUGAUGGGCCAACACCUGGCACUUGUGUUGGAAAGUUGUUGAUUAGAAUCUCUUCCAUGUCAGUGUCCCUUAGAAGUGUCAAAUUCAGUAGGCCACUAUGUGGUUUUGAGUUCAAUAGUUGAUUGCCCUCCUCCCCAUCAAGUUCAGAACCAG